AGCGAACGCUGGCGGCAGGCCUAACACAUGCAAGUCGAACGCACCGCAAGGUGAGUGGCAGACGGGUGAGUAACGCGUGGGAACGUGCCCUUCGGUUCGGAAUAACCCGGGGAAACUCGGGCUAAUACCGGAUACGUCCGUAAGGAGAAAGAUUUAUCGCCGAAGGAUCGGCCCGCGUCGGAUUAGCUAGUUGGUGAGGUAACGGCUCACCAAGGCGAUGAUCCGUAGCUGGUCUGAGAGGACGAUCAGCCACACUGGGACUGAGACACGGCCCAGACUCCUACGGGAGGCAGCAGUGGGGAAUAUUGGACAAUGGGCGCAAGCCUGAUCCAGUCAUGCCGCGUGAGUGAUGAAGGCCUUAGGGUUGUAAAGCUCUUUUAAUCGUGAAGAUAAUGACGGUAGCGAUAGAAAAAGCUCCGGCUAAAUUCGUGCCAGCCGCCGCAGUAA
rnacentral:rRNA from 1 species